GGAUGCUGACCUGGUCUUUCUGGGCGAUUGUACUCCGUGUGUGAACUGCGAAUCACCACUCGAAGGCUUGCAUCCUGUCCAAGGCCUGGUUCAAGAUGGUCGAGAACUUGCUGCGAUCCAUAAAGCACGUUGCCU